UACGUAGGGGGCUAGCGUUGUCCGGAAUCAUUGGGCGUAAAGAGCGUGUAGGCGGUCCGGUAAGUCCGCUGUGAAAGUCGGGGGCUCAACCCUCGAAUGCCGGUGGAUACUGCAGGGCUAGAGUCCGGAAGAGGCGAGUGGAAUUCCUGGUGUAGCGGUGAAAUGCGCAGAUAUCAGGAGGAACACCGAUGGCGAAGGCAGCUCGCUGGGACGGUACUGACGCUGAGGCGCGAAGCGUGGGGAGCAAACAGG
rnacentral:rRNA from 1 species